rnacentral:rRNA from 1 species
GACGUAGGGGGCGAGCGUUGUCCGGAAUUACUGGGCGUAAAGAGCACGUAGGCGGGUAAUUAAGUCAGGUGUGAAAGACCGCGGCUCAACUGCGGGGUGGCACCUGAAACUGGUUAUCUUGAGGGCAGGAGAGGGCAGUGGAAUUCCUGGUGUAGCGGUGAAAUGCGUAGAAAUCAGGAGGAACACCAGUGGCGAAGGCGGCUGCCUGGACUGACCCUGACGCUGAGGUGCGAAAGCGUGGGUAG